rnacentral:rRNA from 1 species
GACGAACGCUGGCGGCGUGCUUAACACAUGCAAGUCGAACGGAAAGGCCUGCUUUCCCUUGUGGAUUGCGGGUACUCGCGUGGCGAACGGGUGAGUAACACGUGAGUGAUCUGCCCCCAACUUGGGUAUAAGCCUGGGAAACUGGGUCUAAUUCCCGAUAGGACUGCAGGGUGGUGCCUGUGGUGGAACACGAUUUUCUAGUGGUUGGGGAUGAGCUCGCGGCCUAUCAGCUUGUUGGUGGGGUAAUGUCCUACCAAGGCGGCGACGGGUGGCCGGCCUGGGAGGGUGGACGGCCACAUUGGGACUGAGAUACGGCCCAGACUCCUACGGGAGGCAGCAGUGGGGAAUAUUGCACAAUGGGCGGAAGCCUGAUGCAGCGACGCCGCGUGGGGGAUGACGGCCUUCGGGUUGUAAACUCCUUUCGGCCGAGAGGAAGCCACCUGGUUGGAAGGGUGGUGACGGUAGUGGUAGAAGAAGCACCGGCUAACUACGUG